rnacentral:rRNA from 1 species
GUGAACGCUGGCGGCGUGCCUAAUACAUGCAAGUCGAACGAUGAAGCUCUAGCUUGCUAGAGUGGAUUAGUGGCGCACGGGUGAGUAAUGCAUAGAUAACAUGCCCUUUAGUCUAGGAUAGCCAUUGGAAACGAUGAUUAAUACUGGAUACUCCUUACGAGGGAAAGUUUUUCGCUAAAGGAUUGGUCUAUGUCCUAUCAGCUUGUUGGUGAGGUAAUGGCUCACCAAGGCUAUGACGGGUAUCCGGCCUGAGAGGGUGAACGGACACACUGGAACUGAGACACGGUCCAGACUCCUACGGGAGGCAGCAGUAGGGAAUAUUGCUCAAUGGGGGAAACCCUGAAGCAGCAACGCCGCGUGGAGGAUGAAGGUUUUAGGAUUGUAAACUCCUUUUGUGAGAGAAGAUUAUGACGGUAUCUCACGAAUAAGCACCGGCUAACUCCGUGCCAGCAGCCGCGGUAAUACGGAGGGUGCAAGCGUUACUCGGAAUCACUGGGCGUAAAGAGUGCGCAGGCGGGUAGUCAAGUCAGAUGUGAAAUCCUAUGGCUUAACCAUAGAACUGCAUUUGAAACUGUUAUUCUAGAGUAUGGGAGAGGUAGGUGGAAUUCUUGGUGUAGGGGUAAAAUCCGUAGAGAUCAAGAGGAAUACUCAUUGCGAAGGCGACCUGCUAGAACAUAACUGACGCUCAUGCACGAAAGCGUGGGGAGCAAACAGGAUUAGAUACCCUGGUAGUCCACGCCCUAAACGAUGAAUGCUAGUUGUUGCCCUGCUUGACAGGGCAGUAAUGCAGCUAACGCAUUAAGCAUUCCGCCUGGGGAGUACGGUCGCAAGAUUAAAACUCAAAGGAGUAGACGGGGACCCGCACAAGCGGUGGAGCAUGUGGUUUAAUUCGAAGAUACACGAAGAACCUUACCUAGGCUUGACAUUGAUAGAAUCCGCUAGAGAUAGUGGAGUGCUAGCUUGCUAGAACUUGAAAACAGGUGCUGCACGGCUGUCGUCAGCUCGUGUCGUGAGAUGUUGGGUUAAGUCCCGCAACGAGCGCAACCCUCGUCCUUAGUUGCUAACUAUUCGGUAGAGCACUCUAAGGAGACUGCCUUCGCAAGGAGGAGGAAGGUGAGGAUGACGUCAAGUCAUCAUGGCCCUUACGCCUAGGGCUACACACGUGCUACAAUGGGAAGCACAAAGAGAUGCAAUAUUGUGAAAUGGAGCAAAUCUAUAAAACUUCUCUCAGUUCGGAUUGUAGUCUGCAACUCGACUACAUGAAGCUGGAAUCGCUAGUAAUCGUAAAUCAGCUAUGUUACGGUGAAUACGUUCCCGGGUCUUGUACUCACCGCCCGUCACACCAUGGGAGUUGUAUUCGCCUUAAGUCGGAAUGCCAAACUGGCUACCGCCCACGGCGGAUG